AGAGUUUGAUCCUGGCUCAGGAUGAACGCCGGCGGUGUGCCUAAUACAUGCAAGUCGAACGCGUUGGUCCAAUUGACAACUGGUGCUUGCACCGGUUAGAUUUUGGUCGCCAACGAGUGGCGGACGGGUGAGUAACACGUAGGCAACCUGCCCAGAAGCGGGGGACAACAUUUGGAAACAGAUGCUAAUACCGCAUAACAACGUUGUUCGCAUGAACAACGUUUCAAAGAUGGCCUCUGGCUAUCACUUCUGGAUGGACCUGCGGUGCAUUAGCUUGUUGGUGGGGUAAUGGCCUACCAAGGCGAUGAUGCAUAGCCGAGUUGAGAGACUGAUCGGCCACAAUGGGACUGAGACACGGCCCAUACUCCUACGGGAGGCAGCAGUAGGGAAUCUUCCACAAUGGGCGCAAGCCUGAUGGAGCAACACCGCGUGAGUGAAGAAGGGUUUCGGCUCGUAAAGCUCUGUUGUUAAAGAAGAACAUGCGUGAGAGUAACUGUUCACGCAUUGACGGUAUUUAACCAGAAAGUCACGGCUAACUACGUGCCAGCAGCCGCGGUAAUACGUAGGUGGCAAGCGUUAUCCGGAUUUAUUGGGCGUAAAGAGAGUGCAGGCGGUUUACUAAGUCUGAUGUGAAAGCCUUCGGCUUAACCGGAGAAGGGCAUCGGAAACUGGCUAACUUGAGUGCAGAAGAGGGUAGUGGAACUCCAUGUGUAGCGGUGGAAUGCGUAGAUAUAUGGAAGAACACCAGUGGCGAAGGCGGCUACCUGGUCUGCAACUGACGCUGAGACUCGAAAGCAUGGGUAGCGAACAGGAUUAGAUACCCUGGUAGUCCAUGCCGUAAAC
rnacentral:rRNA from 1 species